GAGUUUGAUCGUGGCUCAGAUUGAACGCUGGCGGCGUGCUUUACACAUGCAAGUUGAGCGGCAGCACGGGGAGGCAACUUCUGGGUGGCGAGCGGCGGACGGGUGAGUAAUACAUCGAGACGUGCCUAUAAGUUGGGGAUAGCCGAUCGAAAGAUGGGGUAAUACCGAAUGAGCUCUGAGGAGGAAAGCUGGGGACUUAGGAGACUAGGCCUGGCGCUGAUAGAGCGGUCGAUGGUUGAUUAGCUAGUUGGUGGGGUAAUGGCUUACCAAGGCGAUGAUCAAUAGCUGUUCUGAGAGGAAGAUCAGCCACACUGGGACUGAGAGACGGCCCAGACUCCUACGGGAGCAGCAGUGGGAAUA
rnacentral:rRNA from 1 species